rnacentral:rRNA from 1 species
GGGCGCAAGCCUGAUGCAGCCAUGCCGCGUGUGUGAAGAAGGCCUUCGGGUUGUAAAGCACUUUCAGUCGUGAGGAAGGUAGUGUAGUUAAUAGCUGCAUUAUUUGACGUUAGCGACAGAAGAAGCACCGGCUAACUCCGUGCCAGCAGCCGCGGUAAUACGGAGGGUGCGAGCGUUAAUCGGAAUUACUGGGCGUAAAGCGCAUGCAGGUGGUUUGUUAAGUCAGAUGUGAAAGCCCGGGGCUCAACCUCGGAAUAGCAUUUGAAACUGGCAGACUAGAGUACUGUAGAGGGGGGUAGAAUUUCAGGUGUAGCGGUGAAAUGCGUAGAGAUCUGAAGGAAUACCGGUGGCGAAGGCGGCCCCCUGGACAGAUACUGACACUCAGAUGCGAAAGCGUGGGGAGCAAACAGGAUUAGAUACCCUGGUAGUCCACGCCGUAAACGAUGUCUACUUGGAGGUUGUGGCCUUGAGCCGUGGCUUUCGGAGCUAACGCGUUAAGUAGACCGCCUGGG